AAAAACUUAAUUCUUAAGUGUUCGUGUAUAAUGUUUGACCGUCUGUUCUAUAUGAAAUUUUUUUUUAUGAUUAGUAUUUUUAUUAUUGUUAGAUAGUAAAAUAUGAAUAAUACUUUAUACAUAACUUAUCUUUUUAAAUUUUUUUAAAUAAGACGGAUGGUCAAAUAAUAAAAACGGAAACCCAGG
rfam:Oryza sativa (indica cultivar-group) chromosome 2, whole genome shotgun sequence.